UUCUCACAGCUGGGGAGGCUGGAAGUCCAAGACCACGGUGCUGUCAGAUUUGGGGACUGGUUGAGAGCCUGCUUCCUGGUUCUGUACAGAGAGCUGUCUUCUCGCCGUGUCCUCACACGGUAGCAGGGGUAAGGCAGCCUCGUGGGCUUCUUUUACGAUGGCACAAAUCCCGUUCAUGACCUAAUCACCCUGGUGGUUAGGUCUCAAUAUAGGAGUUUUGGGAGGACACAGUCAGUCUACAACACUGUCUUAAAAGGAGCGCGGAAAGGCAGGAAGCAGGACAGCAGGCAGCUCACUGCCGGAAUGUCCCAUCCUAUCCGCCCUAAGAGAGAGGACGUGUAGAAUUUGAGCAGCUGGGGAUUGGUGCCCUCAAAACUCUGAGGCCUCCUUGAAAAGUCCUCCUGUGACCCCGGGUGUCUCAGUCUGAGGACCACUACCUGGCUCGCUGUUAAGUAAAUGAGCUGGUCUUUGAACCCAGGGUGUGCGCAGCUCGGAAUGCCCAGCAGGUGGCCCUGCAAUCCAUUUGUUUUCGGGUGAAGGAUGCUUUGCAGAUCGCUUUGUAGCAAGGAAUCUGAUUUUAGCUCAAGGAUCUAAGCAAAUAAAUUUUCUCUUCUUCUCUGCUAGAUUUUUUGGGGAACAGGGACACCGUGAAACAAAAACAAGGAAAGAGAGUGGGGAUAGCAAAGAAGACAAGUAUCUUCCGUCUACGGUUGUGAUGGACCACCUUGUUCCUUACCAAAACGCUCAAAGACAACGGAUGCCAUGCGUUUCUUGCCUGUUUUUGAAACAACAGCUAUGACUCAGUUACAAAAAAAGAAAAGAAAAUUGAAGAAACCAUCCGUGCCAGAAAUCCCAUGUUCUUGCUGAUCUUCGAGAUCUACCUCAGCUCAUGGAAAAAUCCCCUGGGCGGUUGUGAAAACCACGUCAUCUCCCUGCAGGUUUUCAAACUGUAAACAGUUGUUGUCACUCACAAUUCAAGUGUCGCCAUUCACUGUGUUGUAAAAAGAAACGAAAAGGAAUUGGAGGCUGGUUUUGUGGACGCGAGGAACUCAUCCUUAAACCUGCCGGUGGCGGAGUUUCUGCUCAACACUCAAGUGCUUCAGGUUUCCCUCCAUGUCUGCUGGAAAUCCGUAGGACACAGCUGAACCCCCACCUGCACCCAGCACCCGCAUGCCAACAGUGUCCUACCUGUACAGUCCAUUCUCUGACUUCUGGGGGUGCCUGGAGAAUACUCCUACCUUCACGCAAGUAAAACACGUGCCUUAGAUCGGAAGUCUACAACAAAGGAGUCAGCAGGGUGGUUCCUUCCAGGCACUCUGGAGAGAAUGCACAUCCUUGCCUUUUCCAGCUUCUGGAGGCCCCCUGUGCUCCUUGGCUCGUGGACCCUUCUUCCUUUUCCAAGAACCUUCCUUAAUCACACCUGCAAAGUCCCCUUUGCUGUAAAGGGUGAUAGACCACAAGCUUCAGGGAUUAGGAAGUGGAUGCAUUUUUGUUGUUGUUGGGGGGUGUCAUUAUUCAGCUUCCCACAUGUGUGACGUUCAUCUCCUGGGAAAUGAACAAACUCCGAUCGAAAACCCAUCUGGAAAAGUCCAACCUCGCAGUGUCUUAGACCAACACUUGGGGGGUCUGUGCUCCUGCACAGUGAGUUU